GGGGGCGACUGGUUUCGACAGGGUAGCUCUGAGACGGGCAGCAGGCCGUGGUCUCCUCGCCACGUUAAACAGGGGUACUGUCAAAUUGAAUUGACAACGAUUCUUCUUAUGAGCCAGCUACUCUGGCUCUCGCUGCUUAAUUAAAAAGUAGCGCGUCAAUCUAGGGGCUUCUCCCGACUCUAGUGCGACGUCAUCUAGGGAGAUGCACGCGCGGACGUAGCUGGUAUGCCGCUCGCUAAGAAUGAACCAACUGGAACGCCAAGCGCUGGUCAAUGCGUGCGAGGCGUUUGAGAUCUAAGCAUAGACUGAGCCUGGAGACACCUAUCAGGGGGUUAUCUUGGACCGGAGUUCGAUUCUCCGCGCCUCCACCA
rnacentral:tmRNA from 1 species